rnacentral:rRNA from 1 species
ACGCUCGACACCUACGGGAGCAGCAGUAGGGAAUCUUCCACAAUGGACGCAAGUCUGAUGGAGCAACGCCGCGUGAGUGAAGAAGGUCUUCGGAUCGUAAAACUCUGUUGUUAGAGAAGAACACGAGUGAGAGUAACUGUUCAUUCGAUGACGGUAUCUAACCAGCAAGUCACGGCUAACUACGUACCAGCAGCCGCGGUAAUCUGAGCGGGCUGGCAAGGC